UUGGAGGGCAAGUCUGGUGCCAGCAGCCGCGGUAAUUCCGGCUCCAAUAGCGUAUAUUAAAGUUGUUGCAGUUAAAAAGCUCGUAGUUGAAUUUCGGGAUCAGAGUGUCGGUCGUGCCUCGGUACGUACUGGUAUUAUUGGUUCCUACCUUCUGAAGAACCGCGAUGUCAUUAAUUUGGUGUCGUGGGGAAUCAGGACUGUUACUUUGAAAAAAUUAGAGUGUUUAAAGCAGGCUUACGCUUGAAUACAUUAGCAUGGAAUAAUGAAAUAGGACGUUUGAUUCUAUUUUGUUGGUUUCUAGGAUUGACGUAAUGAUUAAUAGGGAUAGUUGGGGGCAUUAGUAUUCAAUUGUCAGAGGUGAAAUUCUUGGAUUUAUUGGAGACUAACUACUGCGAAAGCAUUUGCCAAGGAUGUUUUCAUUAAUCAAGAACGAAAGUUAGGGGAUCGAAGACGAUCAGAUACCGUCGUAGUCUUAACCAUAAACUAUGCCGACUAGGGAUCGGAUGAUGUUAAUUUUUUAAUGACUCAUUCGGCGCCUUACGGGAAACCAAAGUGUUUGGGUUC
rnacentral:rRNA from 1 species